AGUGAACGCUGGCGGUAGGCCUAACACAUGCAAGUCGAACGGCAGCACAGUAAGAGCUUGCUCUUACGGGUGGCGAGUGGCGGACGAGUGAGGAAUACAUCGGAAUCUACUUUUUCGUGGGGGAAUAACGUAGGGAAACUUACGCUAAUACCGCAUACGACCUACGGGUGGAAGCAGGGGAUCUUCGGACCUUGCGCGAUUGAAUGAGCCGAUGUCGGAUUAGCUAGUUGGCGGGGUAAAGGCCCACCAAGGCGACGAUCCGUAGCUGGUCUGAGAGGAUGAUCAGCCACACUGGAACUGAGACACGGUCCAGACUCCUACGGGAGGCAGCAGUGGGGAAUAUUGGACAAUGGGCGCAAGCCUGAUCCAGCCAUACCGCGUGGGUGAAGAAGGCCUUCGGGUUGUAAAGCCCUUUUGUUGGGAAAGAAAAGCAGCAGGUUAAUACCCCGCUGUUCUGACGGUACCCAAAGAAUAAGCACCGGCUAACUUCGUG
rnacentral:rRNA from 1 species